GCCCAUAAUCUUCGUCCUCCUUGACCCUAUAAAAGAGCCCAGGUACUGUGAUUCUUUGCCCUACCUUUUGGUUUUGAUGAUCCAUAGAUGGAUCUGAGUUGUUGGUACACGUUCUCUUUGCGAUUCAUAGCAUUGGAGAACUUGGUUUUGGAAUUGCUUACCAAUUGAUUGUUGAAAUGCCCCAGAGAAGUGGAACUGUAGGGCAUCCUUCUAAAUACAGCCUAAAGAAUUUUUUGUUACAGGGCUUUCUACACUCCAUCGUUCUAUUACCUUUCCUUUUUCAGUAUUUGCUCUUCUCCAAAGAUUUCGAUAAGACGAGAUUGUUUUCAGCGGCGAAUCGGGCUAGGUCUUACAUGCUCUGCUAUCUAAACUUCUGGUUGAUUUUGUGAUCUUUCCAUUAUCUUAUCAGAAUGAAUAUAAGAAUCAGAUCUGAUUCUUGCGGUGCCUCCAAGAAACCUCUCAUUUGGAUUUCUUCUGAUUGAUUACAGGGAUUUAACAUAUUAGAAGGUUGAUUUUCACCAACGAGAUGCACUCGAGAGAAAGUACAACAACAGGAUCGGUCUUUGUUGCGAUAUAUUGGUUUCAUUUCGUUGCUGCGCUUUUCCUAUGCUGCUAUCCUAUCCAAGUUCCUUCCACCAUACCAAAGCCAUAUUUUGGCUGCCAUUCAAAAUGACAUGUGUAAAAAUUCUUAUUUUCUUGCUUUCUGAUACGUCCACGCAAUAUUGGUAUUAGCAUUUUUAACCACUCUAGGAAACUAUACGUGUGUGUAGCUAUGAGUUGAUCCAGAAUAUGUGCACUAGCAUUCAAAUUAGCCAUGUUCCCUCAAAUGAAAAUUUUCAUUUUCCUUUUUUUUUUUUUCACUUAUACAAUAAUGCAUGGUUAUUCAUAUUUCUUCUA